rnacentral:piRNA from 1 species
UAAAUGGCUGAAAGCUCGUCAGAGUAGGAC